ACGAACGCUGGCGGCAGGCUAACACAUGCAAGUCGAGCGCACCCUUCGGGGCGAGCGGCGGACGGGUUAGUAACGCGUGGGAACGUGCCCUUCUCUACGGAAUAGCCUCGGGAAACUGAGAGUAAUACCGUAUACGCCCUUCGGGGGAAAGAUUUAUCGGAGAAGGAUCGGCCCGCGAUGGAUUAGGUAGUUGGUGAGGUAACGGCUCACCAAGCCAGACGAUCCAUAGCUGGGUUUGAGAGGAUGAUCAGCAACACUGGGACUGAGACACGGCCCAGACUCCUACGGGAGGCAGCAGUGGGGAAUCUUAGACGAUGGGGGAAACCCUGAUCUAGCCAUGCCGCGUGAGUGACGAAUGCCCUAGGGUCGUAAAGCAGCUUUUCGCCAGAGAUGAUUAUGACAGUACCUGGCAAAGAAACCCCGGAUAAACUCCUUGCCAACAGCCGCGGUAAUGCGGAGGGGGUUAGCGUUGUUCGGAAUUUACUGGGCGUAAAGCGUACGUAAGCGGACUGUAAGUUAGAGGUGAAAUCCCCAGGCUCAAACCUGGAACUGACCUUUAUACUGGAAGUCUUGAGUACGAGAAAGGUGAGUGGAAUAGCAAGUGUAAAGGUGAAAUUCGGAGAUAUUUGGCAGGAACACAGUGGGCAAGGGCGGUCACUGGGUCGAUAUUGAGCUUAGGUACACGUGUGGGGAACAACCGGAUAGAAACCCGGUGAUCACUCGGAUCG
rnacentral:rRNA from 1 species